rnacentral:rRNA from 1 species
GUUAUAGGAUCAAGCGACUAAGUGCACAUGGUGGAUGCCUUGGCGAUUACAGGCGAUGAAGGACGUGGUAG